AAAAAGCCAAAACUUGUUUAUCAAUAUUGACUAAUUCCUUUUUUUUAAGUCAAUGAUAUCAACUUAGCAUUGGGGUCAAAUACGGCCAACCAAGUGAUAACGUAUGCCACAGUUCCCCUUCUACUGAAGUAGACUAUUUUAUGAAUAUGAAAAACGCUUGCUGAUCAGACAUUCUGAAUUAUUAUAAUAUUUAAUAUUCACCAAAUCUGUUAAAUACCCCCUAAGAUUAAAAAAUAAUAAAAAGAAGGUAUUAUUUUUCAAUCUCUCUCCCACGUUUUAUGUUGCUCCCUUUUUCACAUUUGAUGCAUAACACAUAGUUUAUUUCAACCACUAGAAUGCUUUGGCACACACUGCUUCUUGACUGGCCAUAACUAACACUAGUAUUGAAGUAGGAAUAGAUAUUUAUUGAAAAAGAGAAAAAGAAUUGGCUGUAAUUGACACUUGGACCAAAGUUUUGGAUUUUCAGAUGAUUAACCCCUUUAUAAGAUAUAAUAAUAGAAUUUAUAUGAGCCAACUAUAAAGCAGUAUAAAAUGGUACAAAAGCAGUUGAUUUGCAUGUCAUACUUGGGGCCUGCAGACAUUGUA
rnacentral:misc_RNA from 1 species